rnacentral:rRNA from 1 species
GAAAGCUCCGGCGGUACAGGAUGGUCAUGCGCACGAUUAGCUAGUUGGUGAGGUAACGGCUCACCAAGGCGACGAUCUAUAGCUGUUCUGAGAGGAAGAUCAGCCACACUGGGACUGAGACACGGCCCAGACUCCUACGGGAGGCAGCAGUUAGGAAUAUUGGACAAUGGGCGCAAGCCUGAUCCAGCCAUGCCGCGUGAGUGAUGAAGGCCUUCGGGUUGUAAAGCUCUUUAGCCGACGAUUAUAAUGACUGUAGUCGGAGAAUAAGCCCCGGCUAACUUCGUGCCAGCAGCCGCGGUAAUACGAAGGGGGCGAGCGUUAUUCGGAAUCACUGGGCGUAAAGCGUGCGUAGGCCGUUUUGUAAGUUAGGAGUGAAAGCCCAGGGCUUAACCCUGGAAUUGCUCUUAAGACUGCAAGACUAGAAUCUCGGAGAGGAUAGCGGAAUUGUCAGUGUAGCAGUGAAAUGCGUAGAUAUUGACAGGAACACCAGUGGCGCAAGCGGCUAUCUGGACGAGUAUUGACGCUGAGGCACGAAAGCGUGGGGAGCAAACAGGAUUAGAUACCCUGGUAGUCCACGCCGUAAACGAUGUGUGUUUGUCGCUGGGAGGUUUACCUUUCAGUGACGCAGCUAACGCGUUAAGCACACCGCCUGGGAAGUACGGCCGCAAGGUUAAAACUCAAAGGAAUUGACGGGGACCCGCACAAGCGGUGGAGUAUGUGGUUUAAUUCGUCGCAACGCGAAGAACCUUACCAGGCCUUGACAUGCCCUCUAUGAUGCUCAGAGACGAGCGUCUUCACUUCGGGUGGGAGGAGCACAGGUGCUGCAUGGCUGUCGUCAGCUCGUGUCGUGAGAUGUUGGGUUAAGUCCCGCAACGAGCGCAACCCUUUUUAUCAGUUGCCAACACGUAAUGGUGGGAACUCUGAUGAUACUGCCGGUGAUAAGCCGGAGGAAGGCGGGGAUGACGUCAAGUCCUCAUGGCCCUUACGGCCUGGGCUACACACGUACUACAAUGGCAGUGACAGCGGGCUGCAAGCUAGUAAUAGCAAGCAAAUCCCUAAAAACUGCCUCAGUUCAGAUUGUGCUCUGCAACUCGAGCACAUGAAGUUGGAAUCGCUAGUAAUCGUGGAUCAGCAUGCCACGGUGAAUACGUUCCCGGGUCUU